AAAACAACCUUCCUCUUCUCUCUCACAUUAACCUACUCACCUCCAACAAUCACACACACAAAUUUCUCUCUCACCGUCAGGCCCUCUCCGCUUCUUCACUGCGAUCCACUCGUCUUCUAUCACCGCGACCCAUACCCUCCUCUCCUCCCCUUCCUCCGCCCUCUACAAUUUCGUCAUCCUCUGCCGCCUCUCCCUCGCCCCUGAUUUCCACACCUUUCCUUUUGCGUUCAAAGCAUGGAGAGAGGAGGCUAAAACAAAUACCAAAGGUGAUCCUUCUUUUUCUACCUAGAGAAAUGUUAAGUGACCCAAUAAAUAGUUUUUCAAUUGCUUACUGGAAUUUGUUUUGGUAUCACCAUAGGUACGAGAAGAGGCACUCAAAUAUUGCAGCACAUAUAUCUCCAUGCUUCCGUGUGAAGGAAGGAAAUCAUGUUAUCAUAGGGCAAUGUAGGCCAUUUCAAAGACAGUGAGGUUUAACGUGG